GACGUAGGGCGCGAGCGUUGUCCGGAUUUAUUGGGCGUAAAGAGCUCGUAGGCGGUCUGUCGCGUCGGGAGUGAAAACUUACAGCUUAACUGUGAGCGUGCUUCCGAUACGGGCAGACUUGAGGUAUUCAGGGGAGAACGGAAUUCCUGGUGUAGCGGUGAAAUGCGCAGAUAUCAGGAGGAACACCGGUGGCGAAGGCGGGUCUCUGGGCCGAAACUGACGCUGGAGGAGCGGAAAGCGUGGGGAGCAAACAGG
rnacentral:rRNA from 1 species